UUGAACGAAAAAAUCAAAAAAAAUAUUCAGAGAAUCAAUACAAAAAGAUCAAAAGUUUCUUGAAGGUUUUGUUUUUUUGCUUUUUUUUCUUCUCUAUUCCAUCGAUGCGUGUUUAUUACUAUUGAUUUUUGUAAAUAGAGAGAAAAAAGGGAAAGGAUUCACCUUAGCGUAGCGCCGAUUGAAACCUUGCUCGCUUCGUCACAAUCAAAGCUCGGGCUAAAGCUGUGAGGCCGGAUAUUGGCGGAGCUUUCGGCGGCAUGAAACUAGGGUUGAAAUCUUAGCAGUAGAGAGGGUAGGGGCAGCCUCCCUCUGGUCCGAACUUAGGGUUGAAGCCUUCUGCUUCAGGUUUUAAGGCGUUUAGGUGGGCGUAUAAAACAACGACGUUCGAGGCUGGUUCCCAUAGCUUCGAAACGGCACCGUUUGGGCCGUCCAGUGACCAUGACCCGCUUGGUGACCCGACCCGAGGGAAGGAUCCGUGCACUUUGGGCUUUUGGUCUAUUUGCACGACGAGUCCCUCUUGUUUUGUGGUGUUUCGAUUUGAUUUUCUUUAAUCUUUUUAAUUUGAAUCAUUUUUUUUAUUUUUAUUUCAAUUUGAUCCAUAGUUGUGCGACGUCGUUUUCGUUGUUUGGAUUUAAAUGUUGACUUUGCGUGUCUAAUUGCAGCAAUGGUCCCUUUAAUGUUUAGCAUUGUUCAAUUCAGUCGUUUGUUUAUUUAUUUGAAAUUUGCCCCUAGG
rnacentral:lncRNA from 1 species